rnacentral:lncRNA from 7 species
GAAACCAUCAGCUGUCCUCGAAGCGGUGCUCCAUACUGCGGUGACACACAACGGUCCUAAUACAUCAAAAAUCUAUCUUUGGAAGCAUGCUCCCCUGCUCAAACAUUUAAAACACCAGGAUUUCAUCACGGGGCAGACUAAGUGCAAGAAUUCUUCCCGGGUGUUGAAGUUCUGCAACCACCACCACACCAUCAGGACCGGACAGCAACGGGCGGACGGAGAUGGUGGAUGAGAGCUGCCAGGUGCAUGCAACUUCUUGCCCAAGAUUUCCAAGACCUGAUGGUGUGGAGAGCUUUAAAAGAAGGAUCUGAAGGAAAGCAGUGAUGCAACUUCGUGGGUGCCUCUUGCUGUGAUUUAGUGCUGUCUGUGCUCAGGCACCAGCUCAGCCUGCAGCCAGGCAUCACUUCUAUCACUAAAGUAGUGCUGCACACUGUGUGGAUAUCCCACAGACUAGUCAAAAGAGGACAAAGCAUCUCUCCUCUCACUUGGAGUACAGCAUGCACCAGUAACUUGCAUGAGAAUUGUAUUACCCAGAACCUGCAUGAUGACUUCACACACCACAAAAUAUGGGCAGUCACAGGAGUGCAACUGCAGGGGCCCUCCUUGGCUUUCUUCAGAUCACAGUUUGCCAGCUCCCAUCCCAGAAAUGUGAGUCCUGAGAAUGACUGCAGAAACUUUUACUUGUCUGAGCUCCAGGAGUAUUUAUGUAAUUUAAUCGAUGAACUGCACUGAUUUAUUUGCACUAAGUAACUCCUUGGGAUCUGGAUAAUAGAUAAGGGUGUGCACAGUGCUGUACAAACACAUCAUAAAUAAAUGCAGCUUGCAAAUCAAUUG